AAAGUUGCACAGAUAAAAAAAAAUAAAUAAUACUAAACAUCAUUGUAAAACCAUACGCUUAUUGGCUCCACUCAAAAUCUAAAACACAAGAUUCCACCUAAAAAUAAUGCUUGUUGGUUCUACUUUGACUGUAUCAAGACGAAUAAAAUUGAAAUGUGGGCUAAAUGUUAAAAAUGUGACCAUGAACUGCAGGUAAGAGAGGACCAUUUAAGUUGACAUU